CUUCAUGUCUGAAGCUCUGAUGAAGCCAUAGGGUAAAGCUCAAGCAUUCAACUAUGAGUGCAUUGCAUCUUAUAGCAGAAACAACUGUAAGCCAAUGAAGUUCAUAACAUAAUUGCUCAUUCCUUUGUCAUUCUAAUGUCUUUACACACACACAUACA